GCGCGGUCGCAUGUGCUCUUCUAAGGUAGUUUGGUGGGGGAAGGUAAAACCAUGUGAUCAUCGACAACCAAUCAGCUGUUUAACAUUGUCCUGCCGCCAAGCCAAGCUCGUCUGACGUCCGUGGUCCUAUGUGCAUGCGAAUCUGCAACUUCCAAUUACUUUACUAUGCAGCAGUAGAAUAUUAAAAGGGAUGGAUAAUUUAUAAUAUACAACAAUCAGCCAACUGUAAUAUUUCGUGCGUAGGAUUCAAUUUAUCCUCGAUAGCAUUCUAAGAUUUGUGUCACAAGUGUCGCCAUUUUGGUGAUACGGCAAGCUAAGCCUGCAAGUGUACCUAUGAUCUUUUUAUUUUGGCUUAGUAUUUGGGCGAUCUGUGGGAUCGUUUCCGACGUCGAACGAACGCAGUAAUUAUAGAGAUGACACAACAAAAUAAAACGAUGAAUUUCUUAAUACAUGACGCCAAUGGCCAUCCACAGGUGAUAAAGGUUGUACAAAGUACACCCAAUAAAUCAUUAAGUGGUAUUAUCAGCACAGCGAAUACUGGUAGUUUUAAAGUUUUUAAAACACCAAGUCAAGAACCACAGGUUCUGUCACCAAAUGCACAAGUCCUCAGAACUAUUAGUCUACAAAGUUCUUCAACCCCUGGUCAGAGAUUGGUGACAAUACCUUUGCAAAAUACGAAGUUAAAUACUACUAAACCUGGAGAUCCUGUAGUAACAAAAACAAUACAGUUAACAUCGGCUCAAAUGAGUGAUAUAAAACAGGCAAUAGUAUCUCAGCAACAACAAAGUAGUAAUCAACAGCUUGUUAAGGAUGUAUCAGGGAAAACAUUUAUUAGUCCAAUAUUGGAUCAUAGUGGUUCUAGAAAACGACAAGAUACAGAAAGUGAUUUUGUGCCUGACAAAAGAAGGAAAACGGAAAAAGUAGGGAAAGGUCUACGCCAUUUUUCGAUGAAAGUAUGUGAAAAAGUAAAAAAAAAAGGCACCACGUCGUAUAAUGAAGUGGCAGAUGAAUUGGUAGGAGAAUUUACUAAUCCUGCACAUAUAAACUCAUUAACAGAUCAGCAAUAUGAUCAAAAAAAUAUAAGGAGACGUGUAUAUGAUGCUUUAAAUGUAUUAAUGGCAAUGAAUAUUAUUUCCAAAGAAAAGAAAGAAAUUCGGUGGUUAGGUUUACCAACUAAUUCAUUACAAGAGUGUUUAGCACUAGAAAAAGAUAAGAAAAAGAAAAUUGAAAAAAUUAAAGCAAAGACACAACAACUUCAUCAACUCAUUCUUUCACACAUUUCAUUUAAAAAUCUGGUAGAACGUAAUCGUUUAAAUGAAAGUCUUCGCGGACCACCAAAACCUAAUUCUGCCAUACAGCUGCCAUUCCUCAUAGUGAAUACCAGCAAAAAGACUGUCAUAGAUUGCAGCAUUUCAAACGACAAAACUGAGUACCUGUUUAAUUUUAAUGAUAAGUUUGAAAUUCAUGAUGACAUUGAGGUUUUAAAACAAAUGGGUUUGGCCUUUGGCCUAGAAAAAGGUAACUGUUCCGAGGAGAAUUUACGGACUGCAAAAUUGAUGGUUCCUAAAUCGCUUGAAAAAUAUGUGGAACAAUUAGCAUCAGGUGAUCUGGAAAAAUUCAUCCCAGUCACUAUACCUGGUCCUAGUACUUCUAUGGAAGACCUAGAAGUUAAAUUAGAAGGUUCUAGGCCACCUUCUUCAUCACAUACUUCGUUAUCUGAAGAUGCUCUUUCACCACCGUCUCAAUAUUAUUCAGAAGAAGAAGAUGAUGAAGAAGAGAGCGAUCAGGAUGAUCAAGCUGAUAGUGAUCUAGAAGUUAACUAGCACCUGGAUCAAACUUCCCAAGGCUGGACUCAGGGUUCGUUACGUCAUUAUGAUAUUCAUUAUUUUCUUCAGUGGUGUCAACGUGAUCAUUAUCAAUAUCACCACUGACAUCGUCGUUACCGCCCCAAUCACCAGAGUCUUCACCAUGUCGAUCAAGAUUAUGUAGGUGUAUAAUAGUAAUCAAGGAUUUUUAAUUAAUCCUUACUAUCAUCGAUACAUAUAAUCUGAUAAAGUAAAUGAGAAUGGUCAAGAGGAAAAUACAUCGAUUGGAGGCAAAUGGAAAAAAGUAAUACAUAAUUACUUCGCCUAAAUAUAUCAGCAAGGCUCUUUUCAUAUUAGGAAACCAGUUCAAUGCACAAGAAGUGAUUCUAAUUUUGAAAACAUAUAUAAUGUCAAAAAACCAUUGACUGUGCAUUGAUUUGCAGAUUUAUAUGACUAGCACCUAUGUAUAAUAAAUUAUAAUCUUAGCCUUAUACCUACAUUAAUAUGUGUAUAAAAUAUUAAGACCAGUACUCAUUUUCUUAUGGCACGUUUAUAAUAAUUAUCAUCAGUGAUACACGGUGAAGUCCAGUAUGCUAAAUGCGAAUACGUCUGACUCGAUUUUGAAGUAUAAAUAAAUUGUCAUAAUGCUAUUGUUCUAUUUUUUAUUAAUUUUUAGUGUAAAUGUUUAUUCAUAAGGUUACCUGUCCAAGUAACUUAAAGUGAUGACAUUGACACAAUUGAUUGUAAUAUACAAUUGGAAUCAGGUGCAAAUGAAAGGUUUCUAAAUAUAUAGACAUGUAUUGAUAA